rnacentral:tRNA from 1 species
GAUCUCAGUUGGUUAGAGCGUGGUGCUGAUAACGCCAGGGUUGCAGGUUCGAGCCCCAUAUGGGACA